rnacentral:rRNA from 1 species
CACUCCUGCGGGAGGCAGCAGUGGGGAAUAUUGGACAAUGGGCGCAAGCCUGAUCCAGCCAUGCCGCGUGAGUGAUGAAGGCCCUAGGGUUGUAAAGCUCUUUCACCGGUGAAGAUAAUGACGGUAACCGGAGAAGAAGCCCCGGCUAACUUCGUGCCAGCAGCCGCGGUAAUACGAAGGGGGCUAGCGUUGUUCGGAUUUACUGGGCGUAAAGCGCACGUAGGCGGACUAUUAAGUCAGGGGUGAAAUCCCUGGGCUCAACCCCGGAACUGCCUUUGAUACUGGUAGUCUUGAGUUCGAGAGAGGUGAGUGGAAUUCCGAGUGUAGAGGUGAAAUUCGUAGAUAUUCGGAGGAACACCAGUGGCGAAGGCGGCUCACUGGCUCGAUACUGACGCUGAGGUGCGAAAGCGUGGGGAGCAAACAGGAUUAGAAACCCUAGUAGUCCC